UGGGGAAUAUUGCACAAUGGAGGGAACUCUGAUGCAGCGACGCCGCGUGAACGAAGAAGGCUUUCGAGUCGUAAAGUUCUUUUAUAUGGGAAGAUAAUGACGGUACCAUAAGAAGAAGCCCCGGCUAACUACGUGCCAGCAGCCGCGGUAAUACGUAGGGGGCUAGCGUUGUCCGGAAUCACUGGGCGUAAAGGGUUCGCAGGCGGAAAAGCAAGUCAGGUGUAAAAGGCAGUAGCUUAACUACUGUAAGCAUUUGAAACUGCAUAUCUUGAGAAGAGUAGAGGUAAGUGGAAUUUUUAGUGUAGCGGUGAAAUGCGUAGAUAUUAAAAAGAAUACCGGUGGCGAAGGCGACUUACUGGGCUCAUUCUGACGCUGAGGAACGAAAGCGUGGGUAGCAAACAGG
rnacentral:rRNA from 1 species